GUCGGUUCUGGCCCCUGAAUCGUGCAGGGGAGGAGGCGAGGGAGGCAGGCCGAGCUCGUCUCCUUCCCGACCCUCGCCCUCGACGAUGUGUGGACGGUUGGGCCUCGCUGCAUGGCUCGGCCCCGGGUUCCACACCGUCGGCUCGAGGUGAUCGAAUGCCGUGAUCGGGUGCGCACGCCCUUUUCGGGAGAGGCCGAGUCUCUAUCCCGUCGAGUUCGCAUGCCCCCGAUUGCGCGCGCGGCGUCGUCCCGGCGAUCCGUCGGUUCUACGAUGGGAAGUCGGGACUGCUGCAACCCCCCGUUACGUCUCCCAGGGGAACAACAUGUCGCUUGGAGCGUUCCCCGCUGCCGACGAGUGCACUCUCGAGCGAUCGCUCGUGGUGCAGGACCCAUCCUCCGACUGCAGGGUUCUCUCGAGGCGGCAUCCCUCUUUGUGCGAUGCAACGGGGCGGGGACACGCACCCUUCCAGUGCCCCCUUGCACUGGCGGAAGGUUCGUGUCAAACACCCUACAUCGGUGCGACCCGCACCAAGAAUUCCAAAACAUUGAAGCGUGGCCCAGGCGCCUUUGUGCGCUUGGGUCGCCAGAAAAAAAAACAUGAAUAAGAUAAA
rnacentral:precursor_RNA from 1 species